UACGGGGGGAGCAAGCGUUGUUCGGAUUUACUGGGCGUAAAGGGCGCGUAGGCGGCCACCGCAAGUCAGUUGUGAAAGCUCUGGGCUUAACCCAGAAAGGUCAACUGAUACUGCGGGGCUAGAGUGCAGAAGGGGCAACUGGAAUUCCUGGUGUAGCGGUGAAAUGCGCAGAUAUCAGGAGGAACACCGGUGGCGAAGGCGGGUCUCUGGGCCGAUACUGACGCUGAGGAGCGAAAGCGUGGGGAGCGAACAGG
rnacentral:rRNA from 1 species